rnacentral:rRNA from 1 species
CGACCGCUGGCGGCGCGCCUAACACAUGCAAGUCGACCGAGCGAGAGAGAGCUUGCUUUCUUGAGCGAGUGGCGAACGGGUGAGUAACGCGUGAGGAACCUGCCUCAAAGAGGGGGACAACAGUUGGAAACGACUGCUAAUACCGCAUAAGCCCACGACCCGGCAUCGGGUUGAGGGAAAAGGAGCAAUCCGCUUUGAGAUGGCCUCGCGUCCGAUUAGCUAGUUGGUGAGGUAACGGCCCACCAAGGCGACGAUCGGUAGCCGGACUGAGAGGUUGAACGGCCACAUUGGGACUGAGACACGGCCCAGACUCCUACGGGAGGCAGCAGUGGGGAAUAUUGCACAAUGGGGGAAACCCUGAUGCAGCGACGCCGCGUGGAGGAAGAAGGUCUUCGGAUUGUAAACUCCUGUUGUGGAGGAAGAUAAUGACGGUACUAAACAAGGAAGUGACGGCUAACUACGUG